rnacentral:lncRNA from 1 species
CAGUCAGACUGACACAAUGGUGCCAAAAUCAAGGAACUGGUCAGGUGCAAUUCAGCCACCCACCUACAGUCAUUUCCUGUGAGGAGGUCUUCACCUUGGAACUUGACCAUGGAGGAGCUUGGGCUUGAGAUCUCACACUGCUUCCCCUUGGACUGCCACAUGGGUAUAAAAUAAAGAACAAACCUGGG